UACCAGCACCCCGAGUGGUCGGGACGUUUAUUGGGCCUAAAGCAUCCGUAGCCGGUUCUACAAGUCUUCCGUUAAAUCCACCUGCUUAACAGAUGGGCUGCGGAAGAUACUAUGGAGCUAGGAGGCGGGAGAGGCAAGCGGUACUCGAUGGGUAGGGGUAAAAUCCGUUGAUCCAUUGAAGACCACCAGUGGCGAAGGCGGCUUGCCAGAACGCCGUC
rnacentral:rRNA from 1 species